AGCACGGCUUCGCAGCGCUCAACCGGGGAGCUUGCUCCCAUUCACGCUGCGGGGAAAGUCCCCGUGCCUUGGGGCAGAGAGUGUCAGCGGGAGACCGCAGGGCGUUGGCUUGCUUGCAGGCAGUGAAACCUUUGGUGGAUUUGCAGCAGCAGGCUUGGGCCUUUCGCAGCAGCACAGGCAUGCCGUGAGCGCUCCCAUGAGGGCGCCAACUGAACGGGGCUCACUCUC
rnacentral:RNase_MRP_RNA from 1 species